UACAGAGGUGGCAAGCGUUGUUCGGAAUUACUGGGCGUAAAGGGCGCGUAGGCGGUCCGAUAAGUCCUGUGUGAAAUCCCUCGGCUCAACUGAGGAACUGCACGGGAGACUGCCGGGCUUGAGUUCGGGAGAGGGAAGCGGAAUUCCGGGUGUAGCGGUGAAAUGCGUAGAUAUCGGGAGGAACACCUGUGGCGAAAGCGGCGCACUGGACCACAACUGACGCUGAGGCGCGAAAGCUAGGGGAGCAAACAGG
rnacentral:rRNA from 1 species